rnacentral:rRNA from 1 species
GACGAACGCUGGCGGCGUGCUUAACACAUGCAAGUCGAACGGACAGGCCCUGCGUUUGUGGGGUUCUCGUUUGGCGAACGGGUGAGUAACACGUGAGUAACCUGCCCUUGACUUUGGGGUAACUUCAGGAAACUGGGGCUCAUACCGGAUAGGAGCUCCUGCUGCGUGGUGGGGGUUGGAAAGUUUCGGCGGUUGGGGAUGGACUCGCGGCUUAUCAGCUUGUUGGUGAGGUAGUGGAUUACCAAGGCUUUGACGGGUAGCCGGCAUGAGAGGGUGACCGGGGUCAUUGGUCCUGAGAGACGGACCAGAAGGGUACGUGCGGCAGCAGGGGGGAGUAUUGCGCAGUGGGGGGAAGCGUGAGGCAGAAACCCCGCGAGCGUGAUGACGUCCUUCUGGUGGUAAACCGAUUUCGCAUGUGACGUAGAGUGAGUGACGGUAAUGGGUAAGGAAGCCACGGCUAACUACGUG